CAAUAGCGUAUAUUAAAGUUGUUGCAGUUAGAACGCUCGUAGUCGGAUUUCGGGGCGGGGCGACCGGUCUGCCGAUGGGUAUGCACUGGUCGGCGCGUCCUUCCUUCCGGAGACCGUUCCUACUCUUAACUGAGCGGGGGCGGGAGACGGAUCGUUUACUUUGAAAAAAUCGGAGUGUUUCAAGCAGGCAGCUCGCUCUUGCAUGGAUUAGCAUGGGAUAAUGAAAUAGGACUUUGGUGCUAUUUUGUUGGUUUCGAACACCGAAGUAAUGAUUAAAAGGGACAGUCAGGGGCACUCGUAUUCCGCCGAGAGAGGUGAAAUUCUCAGACCAGCGGAAGACGAACCACUGCGAAAGCAUUUGCCAGGGAUGUUUUCACUGA
rnacentral:rRNA from 1 species